rnacentral:misc_RNA from 1 species
AAGUCGUAACAAGGUUUCCGUAGGUGAACCUGCGGAAGGAUCAUUACUGAUUUGCUUAAUUGCACCACAUGUGUUUUUUAUUGAACAAAUUUCCUUGGUGGCGGGAGCAAUCCUACCGCCAGAGGUUAUAACUAAACCAAACUUUUUAUUUACAGUCAAACUUGAUUUAUUAUUACAAUAGUCAAAACUUUCAACAACGGAUCUCUUGGUUCUC